rnacentral:rRNA from 1 species
CAUCGUCAGCGUAUUCAAUAUUAAUGCAGGCUAUGAUGUGAUAAUAGAAUCCUUGUGGUCACUAGAUUGUACUUGCUUGUAUUAUUUUUGUUGAGUAUGUCGGCGUGCACUUCUCCUCUAGUAGAACGUCGYAACCCGUUGGAUGUUUAUCUAUGGCUUGAAUGGUAGCCUUUGAUACUUAUUGUAUUGGAGACCUUUGAUGUCCUGAUAAACUGUCUGACGGUAUUCAUAUGGUAUUGAGCCGCAAUUAUAUUGCGUUAGACUUGCCGCAAGUAAGACUUUAUUUUAGUAGUGCGGAUCUAAUGCCGUCGCUGAUCAAAGUCUGCUGUUAGCUGUGUAAUGUCUUUAACUGGCUUAUUUACCGGUUAGCGAUGCUACUGCUUUGGGUACUUACAGGACCCGUCUUGAAACACGGACCAAGGAGUCUAACAUGUACGCGAGUCAUUGGGAUAUAUUUAUAUAACUCAAACCUAAAGGCGUAAUGAAAGUAUAGAUUGUCUUAAAACAAUUGAGGGAA